GUUUGUUUAAGGCCUGAUAUGUGUAAGGCAAAUUCUGAGCUUUUGAGAUUCCAAGACGAAUCAAAUCCAGGGCAGGAUAUCAAUGACCUCAAAGUCUAGGAACAAUGCUAAAAACAAGAUUUCAGUGUUUACUAGUUUCUGAAAACCACAACCGUGGUGGGAUGUGUCAUCUUCCUGAUCAGCCAUGACUGAACGCUCCGCGUAAGGACAGCAGUGACUCAGUAGCAAACACCGCUGACACGCCCCUUGUCCUCCUGAAAUGCUCCAAGAAGGGGUGGGCCGUGUGACUAAGCCCUUGGACAUUUACAGUAAAGCUCUGUGCUGCUCAGAAG
rnacentral:lncRNA from 1 species